GCCCUGCCUCGAGUUGAAUCCUCAUUUCCUCAGUUCCUCAGCCGAAAACUCUCUCGGCCCCGACUUUUUCCUCAUCUCUCAAUCGAAUCCUCGCCGCCACCGGACGCCGCCAAUCAAUUCCGGUGACACAAAGACGGGAACUCAGGAAGACAGGAACUCACAGCAGCUUUCCAUCUCUCUUUCCAUCGGUAAGCAGCAAGUAGAGAUUGAAGAAGACUGGGCUGAAGCUGUUGAAGAAGUCAGCGACUGAAGCUGAACGACACCGCCUCAGACCUGCUAACUGUGAUCCAGAUUUGCUUACAUUUGAGACGAAGAAGAAGAAGAAAAGGGGGAUGUCACGUAAUAAGCACUUGGAGUCCCCAAAUAAAUACCAAUGAUUGACUGGGUUCUUGUUUAAUGUGGAUUUUGAGGACAUAUUACAACGGAUAACUGCUGCUAAUUGUCUUAAUACAUGUCUGUUAACGCAACGUCUCUAGUCCACUCAUAAAUAAGAUGUUCUACAGUUUUUGAGACCUUUUUACCAGUUUGUUACUGGUUGCUAACUCCAUUGUAGUUCUGUGGCACCCAAAGAGUAUCCUAUAUAUGUGCAGAAUAUACUUGGCUUGAGCAUGGAAUAUACUUGCAGAAUAUCCUAUCUAUAGUUUGCAUUCUGUACUUAUAGAAUGUGAUACUUGGUGUGCUCAAUUGCCUACUUUUAUGCGACUGAAAUUUGAAUCUCAUCUCAGUGAGUUAUAUGUAAAUCUUCAUUCCUUUACUGGGGCUCAUUUAUGAGUUAUCUAGCGCCCUCAAGCCCCCAUUUUCCAACAAAAUGUUUGCUUUUGAGUUUGGAUUAGAAUGAUUUGGUUGUUUAAUUAGCUGGAGGUGUAUCUAUUUCUCUUCUAUCUUUGUUUUUUCUUUUUGGUGUGAAAACUUGACGUGUGAUUAAGUUUGGAUGGACUGUUUGUUUACUUCCAGAAGACUAUAAGCUUGAGUAAUGUUUCUUUCUCUUUCAAUAUGUAAUCAGUUUCUACUAGUAUUUAGCAAGGGAGGAAGAAGUUAAGAAGAGGCUUUGUGUUGACUGUGUUCCGAUUGAAAGGUAAGUAAUGAGAUGUGCUUUUGUGCUUUUGUUUAACAGAUUUCAUUGAUUUACUUUUAUUAUUGCUAAUUUUUUGUUAUUAUUGUUGUAGAUUAGCUUGGAAUAGACUUGCAGAUUUGGGCUAGUUCUAGAUUUGAUAUUGCUGAAAAUGAAGAUUUGGGCUGUUUUCUGUUUUGUAAUUGUAUUGCAGUUUAUGUAUUUUGUUUCUGUUUGCAGUUUUAUUUUUGCAGUUUCUGUUUGGUCUAUAUACAUUGCAGUUUUUGUUUGGUCUAUAUACAUUGCAGUUUUUGUUUUUUUGUUUUGUAUUGCAGUUUGAUUUUUGCACUUUCUUACUGCAGUUUCUGUUUUUGGUUUCUUAUUGCAGUUUGUGCUUUAUACUAGUGCUCAUUAACUUUCAUAUUCUGUUUUCACUUUCUUAAUGCAGUUUCUGUUCUGUUUUGCAGAUCAACACUAGUGUUGGUGAAUCUACAACACCAAUACCUCCCCACGAAGGAAUUUCUACUGCAACUAGUUUUAGUGAACUUAUACUUCUUUGAUGUAAUGGACUUUUAUAAAUUAUGGACUAUAUUUUUUGACCAUUUCAUAUGUUGAUGCUAGAAUUUGAUGGACUAUUGGACUAUAUCAAUUGAAUUAUAUGGACUAUGGAGUAUUGAAUUAUA